CAGUCCUAGGGACUGUACAAAACUGUGCGCCAAGUUUGUUCGUCAUCAUUUUACAUGUUAAUCGUGUAUAAAAAUAAUGAAUGUGAUAAUAAUAAAAGAUUUAAUAACUUUUCGUGAGUAUUAGGAUAUUGACGCGAUACUCGAACCAAAUGUAUUAUAAAUAUAUCAUCGACGCGUCUGGACUGAGAGUGAUUUAUAUUUACAUAUCAGCUGCUCUCUGUAUACAUAACGCUGAGUGAUAAUUUCGUAGCUUUAAAAGGGACUAUAAGUGACGAUAAUUGGAUAAAUUAGAGAUUAAUUCAAUUACUUUUUUGUGUAAUUAUGGAGGGAUCAGAAGAACCUUCAAGUCUUCAAUCAAUUUGUCAUGUUCGUGCAUCUGAGCUUUUUCCGAAGCAUACUCAUUUUGAAAGUGACGACCCAUCUUUAAGUAUACCAUUUACGCCGUUAAAUGGAGAAUUUUUAGUUGCACUAGGAAGAACUGCUGAUGGUACACUAGCAUUAUCUAAUUAUCGGUUGUACUUGCAAUUAAGCCAAGCGUGUUACAACAUACCAUUGGGUCUCAUUGAACAACUCGAAGUUAAAGAGAUUUUUUUUCUUCAUAUUUGCUGUAAAGAUGCACGUUCAGUGAGCUGUGCAUUUUCGACAAAUGAACAUUGUCUCGACUGGUUCAAGAGAAUCCACAAAGCUAUUUAUUCACGAAAAAGUAUUGAAGAUAUUUUUGCGUUUGCAUAUUAUGCAUGGUCUACUGAAGAAGGUAGAGACUAUCCAAGGCUUGGGAAGGAUAAUAAUUCGUUCAUUGCAACAUUUAAUUCUGAGGUUGAACGAUUGAAAUUCAAUCUUCAUGGAACUUGGCGUAUCAGUCACAUCAACAAGGAUUACCAAAUGUGUCCUUCCUAUCCUCCAGAAAUUUUAGUACCGGCUUGUAUUCCGGACAAAAUCUUAGAAGCUGUCGGAAAGUUCCGAAGUUUUAGGCGGAUUCCUGCUGUUGUUUGGCGUAACGUAAGAAAUGGUGCUGUGAUAGCACGUAGUAGUCAACCAGAAGUAGGUUGGUUAGGUUGGCGAAGUCCAGAAGAUGAAGACUUACUAAAAGCUUUAUCCGACGCAUGUUCAUAUGACAGAGGGGAAUCAACGAUGAUUGACUCUCCAAAUUCAUCAUCUAAUUCUAGUGAAGAUGCUGUUAGUAUUCAAAGUCCUACGCCAAAAAAAGUAUUGAUUAUUGAUGCAAGAUCUUAUACAACAGCGGUAGCUAAUCGUGCACGUGGAGGUGGUUGUGAGUGUCCAGACUAUUAUUCCAGCUGUGACAUUCAGUUUAUGAAUCUUCCAAAUAUACAUUCGAUAAGAAAAAGUUUUCACGCGAUAAGACAACUCUGUGCAUCUGAUGCUAAUUUACCAAAUUGGUUAACAUUAUUAGAAGGAACUCGAUGGCUACAACAUAUGUCUGAUUUACUGCAGGCUGCAGUUACUGUUGCAUCAGCUAUUGAAAGAGAAGGACGUCCAGUGCUUGUGCAUUGUACUGAUGGAUGGGAUAGAACGCCUCAGAUUGUUGCACUUGCACAAAUAUUAUUAGAUCCUUAUUAUCGAACUAUGGAAGGAUUUCAAACACUUUGUGAGAGAGAAUGGUUAGACUUUGGCCAUAAAUUUGCUGAUCGAUGUGGUCAGAUAAUUGGCUCUGAUGAUCCAAAUGAAAGAUGUCCAGUGUUCCUUCAAUGGUUAGAUUGUGUCCAUCAAUUAAUCGAACAAUUCCCAUGCAGUUUCCAGAUGUCUUCUACAUAUUUUGUAAAACUAGCACAGCAUACAUAUUCGCAAUUAUUUGGUACAUUUUUAUGUAAUACAAGACACGAAAGGUUGCGAUUAAGGAUAAGAGAGCGUACAUUUUCGGUGUGGCGUUUUUUAAAUUCAAGUUCAUUUAUAAACCAUUUGUAUUCACCGUCGAAAAAUCAGGUAUUGUGGCCAAAGUGUAAUGUACGUGACCUUGUACUGUGGUCUGAAGUCUACCUUGGAUCUAUGGAAAUGUCACUUAAUAAACCAGAUAAACAAAGAGUUCCUCUAAUCGAUAAUGAAAACAACGAUAAAGAUGAAACUCAUGGGCAAAUGACUAAAACACGAUCUUAUGGUGAUCUUAUUCAUCCACAAGAUCAUGCAGCUUAUCUUUACCGUCGACUUAGUGAUCCCAGUAUUUCUAUUGAAAAAAAGUUUGAUGCAAUUACUCUGGAAAAUGUAUCGGAUAAAGCAGAAGGUGAAAGUAUUGACGAUAAAAUUAAUGGCAUUUGUGAACCAAUAAAGGAGAAUGGUUCUCAAGCUAAUCAUAACAAUAAUAAUGAAAUACCAAAUAAUCCUUCAGUAGACAGUUCUACUGAUACUCUUAUACCCAGUAGUGAAACAGGUGUAAUAUCUGAUGGCAAAAAUGACACGUGUCAAACGUCUCUUUCUCAAGAAAAUGUGGCUUUUUGGGUAGAAAAUAAUACAGAUCAAGCAGAAUGUAAUCAUGUAAACCAUGAAGGGAGUGAAAUAAGUGAAACAAGUGUCCCUUUAACAUCAAGAACACCUAGCAGUAUAUGUCCUGCUUCUCCAAUACAUCAAGACCUUGUCAUAGAUAAUCCUGAUAGCCUUGACGACGUGGAUGGACUUCCCGUUCUUCAUUGUGAUAUACAGUUACGCAUUCAGCAAAUUAUUGUUGAACACAAGGUGAGAGAAGAAGCUUUGAGAAAAGAAUUACACACUACGCGGAUAGCUUUAAUUAAAAAAGUCUGUAAUAACCAUAAUGAAGAAAACGAUCGUACUGAUGAAAUUGGCUCAUUACCAGAUUCAGUAGGUAGUGCUGGAGAUCACGGCGAGUCUCUACCCUCAGAUAUGUCUUGGGAAGCAGUAGAAGAAAUUGGACCUGCUCCAACACUUUGGGUUCCCGAUCAUGCUGUCAAUAGGUGUAUGGGAUGUGAUACACAAUUUUGGUUAGGUCGACGAAAACAUCAUUGCAGGAGGUCUUUGUAAGCUCUAAGAACUCCAAAAAAUGAUGUUGCUGAAAUAAGUGUAAAAAGUAGUGAUUUCUGAGAUGCUGUGGUAAAAUUUUUUGCGCUGAUUGCUCUGAAAAUUCAACACCACUUCCUAGUGAGCAACUUUAUAACCCAGUGAGAGUUUGCAGUGAAUGUUUUUCUCGCUUACAUCAUCAUUCAAAUUCAUGUC
rnacentral:misc_RNA from 1 species